rnacentral:rRNA from 1 species
GACGAACGCUGGCGGCGUGCCUAAUACAUGCAGGUAGAACGCUGAAGACUUUAGCUUGCUAAAGUUGGAAGAGUUGCGAACGGGUGAGUAACGCGUAGGUAACCUGCCUACUAGCGGGGGAUAACUAUUGGAAACGACUGCUAAUACCGCAUAAGCCCACAGGUCGGCAUCGACCAGAGGGAAAAGGAGCAAUCCGCUUUGAGAUGGCCUCGCGUCCGAUUAGCUAGUUGGUGAGGUAACGGCCCACCAAGGCGACGAUCGGUAGCCGGACUGAGAGGUUGAACGGCCACAUUGGGACUGAGACACGGUCCAA